GGGGGCGAUCCGGCUUCGACGGGGAUAAUUGAAGUUCAGGUUGCAUACCGAGGUUCCAUCUGCUCGUAAAACAGUUGGGAUAUAUGUAAACGCAGACGAUUAUGCGUAUGCCCUAGCCGCAUAAAAGGCUAGCGUCCUUUUGGUUUUUGCCUGCGGUGCCAAAAAGGGCGUCGAUUAGCAGGCUAGCUGAUCCGCUUAACCUGUGAGACGGUGAUGCGAAUUAGGAUACAGGUUAGCCCCUUGGCAGCCUUGCCCGAUUGCGAACCUUGGGGCGAACACUAAACAUCGGGCUAAGUAUGUAGACGCCUGAGUGGAAUAUUUCCGGACGGGGGUUCGACUCCCCCCGCCUCCACCA
rnacentral:tmRNA from 1 species